rnacentral:lncRNA from 1 species
CUUAUCACCAAAAUUUUAUUAGUUUCAUAUAAAAUCUACUAUACAGUAAUAAUAAUAGCACAGGUAAGAACGUUUACUCAUCAAAAAAAGAGAAGAGUCUGAUGGUCGGCAGCACUAUCAAUACAUUGAAGAGACGAGAAUUUUGGUUAGCCAUGUAAGUUCUCUUACCUUAGCAUUCGAUCAUGCAAACUAGCUAGUAGGGUAUAUCUAGUCAUUAGAGUAGUGAACCAUAUGAAUCCAUGCUGGAGGGGAAGGGAAAUCUAAUCAAUGAAGAGGUAACAGAGAUUGGAGAGGCAGUCGGUAUUCAAUCAUCAACUUGGCUUUCCUAAUCAAUCUCUCAGACAACCAAUUUCAAAAGCACGAAAAUGAAAAUCGCGUCACUCACUUUUCUCACCUUUUGUUUUGUGUGAAUGCAACAAGAUUUUUAUUCAGGUCGGACAAAAUUAAGUAGCUACCGACCUACUUCAUGCAAAAG